UCUUUGCUAGUAUAUCGGUUAGUACACGCGCCUGUCAUUUGCAUCUGCGUGGUGCGCGCGAAAGCUGGGUUCGACUCCCAGGCAGAGAG